rnacentral:rRNA from 1 species
GUGGGGAAUAUUGGACAAUGGGCGCAAGCCUGAUCCAGCCAUGCCGCGUGAGUGAUGAAGGCCUUAGGGUUGUAAAGCUCUUUUGUCCGGGAAGAUAAUGACUGUACCGGAAGAAUAAGCCCCGGCUAACUUCGUGCCAGCAGCCGCGGUAAUACGAAGGGGGCUAGCGUUGCUCGGAAUCACUGGGCGUAAAGGGCGCGUAGGCGGACUUUUAAGUCGGAGGUGAAAGCCCAGGGCUCAACCCUGGAAUUGCCUUCGAUACUGGGAGUCUUGAGUUCGGAAGAGGUUGGUGGAACUGCGAGUGUAGAGGUGAAAUUCGUAGAUAUUCGCAAGAACACCGGUGGCGAAGGCGGCCAACUGGUCCGAAACUGACGCUGAGGCGCGAAAGCGUGGGGAGCAAACAGGAUUAGAUACCCGAGUAGUCC